GUGCUUGCUUCAAGCAUGUAUACUGCAAUGGGAACGAUACAGAGAAGAUUGGCGUGGCCCCCGUGCACGGGUGACACGCAAAUUCGUGAAGCUUUCCACAUUUUU